CAUUGGUUAGGAUCAACCUCAGACCCACUAGGUCCUGUGUGGUUGGGAAAAUGGUCUUGGGGUCCAUGAUGGAGGUAAUUUCACCCCACUCUGAUACCAGUCCACACUGCACUCAAACAGUUCUUAGUAAAUAUUCGAUUCUUAAAAUAGUAUGAAUGAAAUUGAGAGCUGGAAGGGCCCUUAGACAGCCUUUAGUCCAAUUUAGUUUUAUACAUCAGAGACUGUAACUGAGACGACAGUAAGGAAAAAUCAGGUAGUGAAUGAGCUGGGAGAGAGAGAAAGUGGGUUUCCUCAUUUCCUCUUUGACAUUCUUGCUCCUGCCUCCUUGCUGUAGGACCAACCUACUGGGCAAAGAGAACGUGUCUUCUCACACCCAGCCACUUAGAUCUGUGCAGUUUGAAUCUGAGAAAGUCAUGGUCCAAUCGGUUUCAAUGCCUGAACGGGGAGGUCCAUUUUGUGUAAAUGUCUGAGACCUUGGGCAGGAAGGGAGACUCAGGCUGAGAUGCUGUUACUCUACCAGCAAACUCAUGUAUCACUCACUGUUUCUGUAGGAGAGAGCCAAAUGUGGUGGUGCCAUGUGAACCCCGACAUGUGUUUCUAAGGGCUUUCCCCCAAAUAGCAAAUAUUUUUAUCAUCCCGGGUGGACAUCCCUUGAAGGUAGAAUGAGUAUAAUGAGCAUAACUCACACAUUGACUGCAAAGGGAUGGUUGGAAUUAGAAGACCUCUGCAGCAUGCAAAGCAGGAAGAUAUAAGAUGAAGGUUUUCUAGGCCAAUACUUGAGAGUAAGUAAAGUAAUAUUCUAUGAAAUGGUCAUGGAGCUGAGAAUUUUGCCCAAGGGAUGGCCUUAUCUGUGCAACAGUUAAUCCAUGGAAGAGAGUCAUUCUUAUGAGUGGUCAUACACUGUUCUGAGAGUCACACCUAAAAGUUGCAAAAAUUGACCUUCCCACCAGUAGAGGGAACUUUGCCCAGAGAAGAGGUUGAGAAUUCUUAUUUUAUGGGGAACGGGGGAGACAAUGGAAGAUUCUCAGAAUCAAGAAGUUUUCCAUACGUAAAAACACAUUUCAUAUAUAUGCCUAUAUUCAUAUAUUGAGUUGAUAUUCUUCACCAUAGUUGUCUUUAAAUCUUUCAUGAUGGGAAAGGAGGAUGAAGAUGAGUUUUACUCUUUGUCCUUUCAAGGAUCUGAGAGUAGGAAUCUCAGAAAAGGGGCUUCCACUUUUGGAAAUGAGAUAGUUUUGUUUUCCCAGGGACCAUUUCUCUGAUCAGUUCUUUAGGACCAGUUUCUUGUUGGUACCAUUCCCAGAGCACAUGCAAUAUUUAUGCUUCCCUGGAUUUAUCCUCACAGAGGACAUCAGAAGAUUCCAAGGAAUAAAUGUGAAUGACAAAGGGGUUUUGGGAGAGAGAGAUAAUUUUGGAAACUCACAGACUGGAGAACUUUAUCAAUGAGUCUUAGGGAAAGAACACUGCAGUGGCAUUUAGGAGAAAUCUGAUGGAGAAUGGGACGUGAAGCAGUGUUGCCAGGAAGUGGGAAGCAUGACAGGACAGAUGGCUAAUGCUUCAGAGGAAAUUGUCCUGGGGCUAUGAGUCAGCAGUUGCAUUUGAGGACAUGCCAUCUAUUUCGAUUUGAGAGAAUGAAAUCACUUCAAGAACACACUUACAUGUGGUUAUACUUUCUGAGUUUGCAGCUCGAUGUUUUCCUGGAAUUUCUACUCUUUCAGUACUUUGCAGAAUGUAAGACACAGAGCAAUCAAAUAGAUUUUUUAAAGCAUGUCAGAUUUCUCUAUGCAAAUUAGUCCAAUAUUGGGGCAAAAAGUUUCUUAUUGCUGACAUAGUAAUAACUGAUGGAAGUUAUCUCCCUGCUCCCUUAUCAUUGAGAUUUGGUCCUUUACUUUUUGUCACAAUCAUCUUAACUGAUGAAAGAUUCCACAUUUUGACUGUUGGUAUUGUCAGGCUUCUGGGAAUAAAUAGCAAGAUCAUGGUUAAGUCCAAAUAGGAGGAACAGAGUCUGAGGUAAGAGACAUUUGAAAUAUCAAAUAAUCUUCUCUCUCUUACUCUAAUCCUUGGCUUCCACGUUCCUUUUAGAAAUAGUUUUUCUCCAUAACAGACCAUUGAGGACAGUAGAUUUGGCAGAAAGGGAAGGUUUUCUAUUUUCUUUGUUGAAGGGAGUAGAUCUUGAUUCCUUCCGGAUGUCAGACACGUGCACCAGGCCCAUCACGAAACAAACAGUAAUAGCGUCUACCUCUUUCCAGCUUACUAACAGUGACUCAGUGGUGCUCAGAGGUAUAAAUCUUGAUCUCCACAUUCGCACUGGGCACUCCAUCCGUGAUCUAACAUAUAAUUUGCUUGACUGAUUGCCGCCUUGCUGCAGGUGAGACCCUCAGAGGCACAGGCGAGGAGAAGAGCAUUUCCCGGUGAGAUCAGUAGCGCUGUGACCACAGACGGUACUGCGCCUGCGCGGACGCAGAGCACGUGGAGGGCUCGUUUUCGUGCAUCUGGUGCACUAGACUGUGGCAGGAGCAGGGCCUUUUUCUCAUUGGCUGGGGGACCAUGUGGGAAAGUAGUCUGUUAGAGGAAGGGGUCGGCCUGAGAGGAGCAGGAGCUGAGCUGGCUGGAGGCUGCAGUUGUGAAGCUGGUCUAACGGGGAGGAGCCAUGAGGACAUCCAGGGGAGCUUUAAUCGUGUUCUCGUGGCUGCAGCUGAGCUGGUUCAGCCGAGGAGAGACUGUGGAGCAGUGGCCUUCUACCCUGAGUGUGCGACAGGGACACAGCUCUGUCAUCAACUGCAGCUAUUCUGACAGUCGUUCAGAGUACUUCCCUUGGUAUAAGCAAGAGCUAGGAAAAGGUCCCCAGCUCCUUAUAGACAUUCGUUCAAGCAUGGCCACAAAAGAAGACCAAAGGCUCACUGUCUUACUCAACCGGACGGCCAGACAUCUGUCCCUGCACAUCGCAGACUCGCAGCCUGAAGACUCAGCUGUGGACUUCUGCGUGGCAAGCACACACUGCUCCCCAGACACCUGCUGCCUGCGCUCAAACCUGCGAGGGGGGCAGCCCCUGGCCUUUGACACAGACCUUCCAGGAGAGCGUUUGUGCUGUUUGUCUGUAGGUGGAAGCUAAUGUGUUAGAUUUUAAAAGCAUAUAAUAGGACUAUUAGGAUGGAGAUGCCGCAGACAGGGUUAGAACAUUUUUUCGAAUGACUGUUUUUUGAUGGAUUCUUGAAUGGAGUUAGUAAUGUUUUAUUUUGAAAUUCAGGUUUUAAGAUGACUUUACAUUUGCUCUUCAGACCGUCUCUUAUAAAUAUCCACUCAGUACCAGUAUUACAGUCCUCCUUAUGGAUGGGCACUUAAAAUUGUAUUUCAAAAGUAGCAGUUAUGAUUUUUGUGAUUCUAAAACAUUACAUGCCAAACACAGAAAUAUGGUAAUUGCAAAUAUGAAAGUGAUAAUUUGUAAUCACACAAUAUUGCUAAUAUUCCUUUUCGUCCCU